rnacentral:rRNA from 1 species
UACAGAGGUCCCGGGCGUUGUUCGGAUUCACUGGGCGUAAAGGGUGCGUAGGCGGCGCGGUAAGUCGGGUGUGAAAUCUCGGAGCUUAACUCCGAAACUGCAUUCGAUACUGCCGUGCUUGAGGACUGGAGAGGAGACUGGAAUUUACGGUGUAGCGGUGAAAUGCGUAGAUAUCGUAAGGAAGACCAGUGGCGAAGGCGGGUCUCUGGACAAUUCCUGACGCUGAGGCACGAAGGUCAGGGGAGCAAACGGG